GAUGAACGCUGGCGGCGUGCUUAACACAUGCAAGUCGAACGAAGCACUUUAUUUGAUUUCCUUCGGGACUGAUUAUUUUGUGACUGAGUGGCGGACGGGUGAGUAACGCGUGGGUAACCUGCCUUGUACAGGGGGAUAACAGUUGGAAACGGCUGCUAAUACCGCAUAAGCGCACGGCAUCGCAUGAUGCAGUGUGAAAAACUCCGGUGGUAUAAGAUGGGCCCGCGUUGGAUUAGCUAGUUGGUGAGGUAACGGCCCACCAAGGCGACGAUCCAUAGCCGACCUGAGAGGGUGACCGGCCACAUUGGGACUGAGACACGGCCCAAACUCCUACGGGAGGCAGCAGUGGGGAAUAUUGCACAAUGGGCGAAAGCCUGAUGCAGCGACGCCGCGUGAGCGAAGAAGUAUUUCGGUAUGUAAAGCUCUAUCAGCAGGGAAGAUAAUGACGGUACCUGACUAAGAAGCACCGGCUAAAUACGUG
rnacentral:rRNA from 1 species